GCCGCUUUAGCUCAUCUGGGAGAGCGUAGCACUGAAGAUGAAAGAUCUGUUAUGCUAAGGUACUGUGUUCGAUCCACAGAAGCGGCA